GAGGGUAUAGCUCAGGUGGUAGAGUGUAUGCGUAGCAUGCACAAGGUCCUGGGUUCAAUCCCCAGUACCUCCU
rfam:Camelus ferus unplaced genomic scaffold scaffold2231, whole genome shotgun sequence.